UGAUUCUUCGGAUGAAGGUUUUUGUGACUGAGUGGCGGACGGGUGAGUAACGCGUGGGUAACCUGCCUCAUACAGGGGGAUAACAGUUGGAAACGACUGCUAAUACCGCAUAAGCCCACGGCUCGGCAUCGAGCAGAGGGAAAAGGAGCGAUCCGCUUUGAGAUGGCCUCGCGUCCGAUUAGCUAGUUGGUGAGGUAACGGCCCACCAAGGCGACGAUCGGUAGCCGGACUGAGAGGUUGAACGGCCACAUUGGAACUGAGACACGGUCCAAACUCC
rnacentral:rRNA from 1 species